rnacentral:rRNA from 1 species
GAUGAACGCUGGCGGCGUGCCUAAUACAUGCAAGUCGAGCGAACAGAUAAGGAGCUUGCUCCUUUGACGUUAGCGGCGGACGGGUGAGUAACACGUGGGUAACCUACCUAUAAGACUGGGAUAACUUCGGGAAACCGGAGCUAAUACCGGAUAACAUUUGGAACCGCAUGGUUCUAAAGUGAAAGAUGGUUUUGCUAUCACUUAUAGAUGGACCCGCGCCGUAUUAGCUAGUUGGUAAGGUAACGGCUUACCAAGGCGACGAUACGUGGCCGACCUGAGAGGGUGAUCGGCCACACUGGAACUGAGACACGGUCCAGACUCCUACGGGAGGCAGCAGUAGGGAAUCUUCCGCAAUGGGCGAAAGCCUGACGGAGCAACGCCGCGUGAGUGAUGAAGGGUUUCGGCUCGUAAAACUCUGUUAUUAGGGAAGAACAAAUGUGUAAGUAACUGUGCACGUCUUGACGGUACCUAAUCAGAAAGCCACGGCUAACUACGUG